rnacentral:rRNA from 1 species
UACGGAGGGCGCGAGCGUUAAUCGGAAUCACUGGGCGUAAAGCGCGCGUAGGCGGUUUGGUAAGUCAAAUGUGAAAUCCCUCGGCUCAACCGGGGAACUGCAUUCGAUACUGCCUGACUGGAGUGCGGGAGAGGGUGGUAGAAUUCCCGGUGUAGGGGUGAAAUCCGUAGAGAUCGGGAGGAAUACCGGUGGCGAAGGCGACCACCUGGACCGCAACUGACGCUGAGGCGCGAAAGCAUGGGUAGCAAAC